CUGCCCCUGCUGAGCAAGCCGCAUGCCGGGGAGAGGGAAGGCUCUCCGCCAUGCACUGCUGGUACUAAUGCCACUUGCUCCCCAGCCUCAGGGAACGUGCCCCCCACCUCCUAAUUUGUAUCUGUGUUUAUGUCAGCAGAGCAAAAAGAUUGCCAUGAGAGAGCAGAUCUCUGCUCCUUCUAGUCCAAGAUCCUGCCUCUGCUAGUGGCCUGCAGCAGAGCUACAGGGAAAAGUUAAACCCUACAAAGGUGAGGAAAGAGCGAGUGAAUGAAGCUCCAUCAGCAUCCGAGGAUGGUAAAGAAGGAACUGAGGAAGCUGCACCACGCGUACACAUAACAGACACCAAUGGCAUGAAGAGGCACCACAGCGCAUGAGCAGCACAGCAAAGCACUGCUGGAAAAAUCUCCAGUCACUGACAUGAGGCCACACCAGCACCCAGAGUGGAGCACCCAUGGGGACAUCACUCAAAGAAGAACUUAUGUCUUCCCCACUGAAGAGGAAGAGUCUGCUUGGUUUCCAACUGAAAAUUUCUACAAGCAAGUGGAGGAAAGAUACUGCUUUUGAUUCAACAGACUGUAUGGAUUUGGCGAUCAAAGACUUUCACUGAGAUUUAGGUAAACUCCAUCUAACAUUCAGGAAUUCUGAGUUUCUUCUCACUGUUUCUCUGGGGACUGACCUGUUUAGAUUCAAUUUGUUUUUUCUUUAUAUUAAAGAAACAUAC